rnacentral:lncRNA from 1 species
GGGAAGUAAGAAGAGACCAGGAGGGGAAGGAUGGACAGUUUGGGAAGGCCAGAAAUGAAUGGCCUUGGAGGAAGACCUGGAUAACUCCUGCUCUGUCCUACAAAACUUUUCAUCUGGGUCACAUCUCAGACCUGUCUCACAAGGUGGUGAAAUGACCAGGAUGAUGCUUAGAAGACUCGUUGGUAAAGACAGUGAAUGGGAAUCAUGUGGCAGUGAUCUGGUUCAGAUCUGUGGCUUACUCCGGAAGAGGAAAAUUGAGAUCUCUGGGAGUUUUUAUAGCCUCACCAAUAAAAGAGAGGGUAAUAUGCACUUUAUCACCUCUGUGAAGUGGUUUUCAGGAGCAAAGAAGAGAAUAUGAUUCCAUGGUGCUUAUUUUCUUUCUAGUAUCUAUUAUAGUUCACAUAUUACUAUGUAUUAGAGGUGCUGGUUUGUCAGAGCUCACUUGUAC